AUAUAAAUAAUGCAUUGUGUGUAUGUGUGUGUGUGUGUGUAUAAUGUAUAUAUACACAUAUAUACAUACACACAUAGAUAUGCAUUAUAUCUA
rnacentral:miRNA from 1 species